rnacentral:misc_RNA from 1 species
GAUGAAGAACGUAGCGAAAUGCGAUAAGUAAUGUGAAUUGCAGAAUUCAGUGAAUCAUCGAAUCUUUGAACGCACAUUGCGCCCGCUGGUAUUCCGGCGGGCAUGCCUGUUCGAGCGUCAUUUCAACCCUCAAGCCCCCGGGUUUGGUGUUGGGGAUCGGCUCUGCCCUUCUGGGCGGUGCCGCCCCCGAAAUACAUUGGCGGUCUCGCUGCAGCCUCCAUUGCGUAGUAGCUAACACGUCGCAACUGGAACGCGGCGCGGCCAUGCCGUAAAACCCCAACUUCUGAAUGUUGACCUCGGAUCAGGUAGGAAUACCCGCUGAACUUAAGCAUAUCAAUAAGCGGAGGA